rnacentral:lncRNA from 1 species
GGGGGAGUGUUCUAGGAUAUUCUCUAUGUGUGCCUUGGCCUUAUGCCAAUAGGAUAUGUAGUUAGACUAGAUCUAUGUAUUCAUAUCCUUACCAUAUUGGUAUUGUGUAAUUCCCUAUAUAAAGGGCUCCUAUCAAUGAAUAAGAUGACUCUCUUGCUAUCUCUUUGUCUCUACACUUUAUUCUUCAUCAAUUCAUACUUAUGAAAUUAAUAACUCAUGGAUAAUUGUGGACUUUGUAAUGUAAAUUACACACACCAAACUCUAAUAUUUUUCCAUCCACUAGAGCAAAGAUUUGGAAAAGUCUACCAUAGACUUUCUCUUUGCAUGUGAAUAAAUUGAUCCUACGAUACAUCUAUUUUUUUUUUAAUAAUAUUUUGUGCUAUCAACGUUCUAUUUUACAUAUUCUUUUCAAUGUUUUUCGAAUGUUAACAUUUUGU